rnacentral:tRNA from 1 species
GACGUAGCUCAGCAGGUAGAGCACCUGUCUUAUACACAGCAAGUCGAAGGUUCAAUCCCUUCCGUC